UACGAAGGGGGCUAGCGUUGCUCGGAAUUACUGGGCGUAAAGAGCUUGUAGGCGGUUUGUCGCGUCUGCUGUGAAAAUCCGGGGCUCAACCCCGGACUUGCAGUGGGUACGGGCAGACUAGAGUGUGGUAGGGGAGACUGGAAUUCCUGGUGUAGCGGUGAAAUGCGCAGAUAUCAGGAGGAACACCGAUGGCGAAGGCAGGUCUCUGGGCCACUACUGACGCUGAGAAGCGAAAGCAUGGGGAGCGAACAGG
rnacentral:rRNA from 1 species